AGUGAACGCUGGCGGUAGGCCUAACACAUGCAAGUCGAACGGCAGCACAGUAAGAGCUUGCUCUUACGGGUGGCGAGUGGCGGACGGGUGAGGAAUACAUCGGAAUCUAUUUUUCCGUGGGGGAUAACGUAGGGAAACUUACGCUAAUACCGCAUACGACCUACGGGUGAAAGCAGGGGAUCUUCGGACCUUGCGCGAUUGAAUGAGCCGAUGUCGGAUUAGCUAGUUGGCGGGGUAAAGGCCCACCAAGGCGACGAUCCGUAGCUGGUCUGAGAGGAUGAUCAGCCACACUGGAACUGAGACACGGUCCAGACUCCUACGGGAGGCAGCAGUGGGGAAUAUUGGACAAUGGGCGCAAGCCUGAUCCAGCCAUACCGCGUGGGUGAAGAAGGCCUUCGGGUUGUAAAGCCCUUUUGUUGGGAAAGAAAAGCAGCAGGUUAAUACCCCGCUGUUCUGACGGUACCCAAAGAAUAAGCACCGGCUAACUUCGUG
rnacentral:rRNA from 1 species